rnacentral:lncRNA from 1 species
UCCCCUUAUAUCAGAGAAGACAUUGGGCAUUUGUUUGGGGGGGGGGGGAUUAGCUAAAAAAACGAUGGUUAGAGGCCACGAAGUAGGUGGCAAUGCCUUAACUGUAUGCAUGUUGUCAGGUCCCAGAGCCUCUUCCAUCCUUGUCAAGGGGAGUUCUAACCUCUCUUUUCAUACAACAAUCACACUUGAUUUUAAGGCAGCAAGCCUGAUGGGUAAGAGCAUAGGUUUGAAGUCAGUCUUGAGUUGGGUCCUUGUUAUAUGAACUGGAGAUUAAUUUUAUAAGCCUCAGUUUUCUCACAAUUGGGGUUAUUAAUAGCUAUCUCCCAGGAUUGCAAAUCAAGGGAGAUCAUUUAUAUGAAGUGCUGUGCCUGAAACCAAUUUUUUUAAAUAAACAGUCAUAAGUGAUGUGAGUAGAAAUGAAGAGUUGAUAAUAAAUGACAUCUUGAAAUCAAUGGCUAUGCUGUAUAAGGGUAAAUGUAUGCAAAAGACAUUCCAAAGAAAUGUCCCAUACCACUGGAAUAUAGUAUGAAUAUGUGCUUAUAUUAUGAAACUUUGCUUCCCAAGCUUUUAAG